UGGACUCAGACGAGCACCUCCGUGUUCUGUGUCGAUCAGGUGGAGGUCUGUUCUGUUCCGGAUGCAGCCAAAAACCAUCCUGAUCUUGGGGACGAGGAAGACCAUCACCGCAUGUCUUCCAGGAUGAGCAGGGAUCUGCCACCGAUGGGAGAGCUUCAGCUCCCGACACCGUCUCUCGACGAGUACUAUGGGACAUACUCAGUUGAUGUUGGCCGAUCGGACUCCUACUGGACUCAGACGAGCACCUCCGUGUUC